GGGUCGGUGGCGUAGCUGGUUAUCGUAUCUGUCUAACAUGUGAAAUAGAUUGUAACAGUUGCACAGAAGGUCCUCAGUUCGAACCUGGGCCGACUCA
rnacentral:tRNA from 1 species